ensembl:lncRNA
GGAUAGACGGGGUUAAAGUGUUCCGAGCCGAGUCGUUCCCCCAGAGGAAUACAGCGAUGCUCACGACGAAAUGAAACGGAAGAAAACAAUACAAGGGAAGAAACUCGGACAGUCUAACAGGCAUGAAGAGGCAUUGGCUGCAGGCAAGUUUGAUGACGUGUGCUCUUCAGGUGAGUUUGAUGAGGUGUGGUCUCUAGGUGAGUUUGAGGAGGCGUGGUCUCCAGGUGAGUUUGAUGAGGUGUGGGCUGCAGAUGAGUUUGAUGAGGUGUGGUCUUUAGGUGAGUUUGAUGAGGCGUGGUCUCCAGGUGAGUUUGAUUAGGCGUGGUCUUCAGGUGAGUUUGAUUAGGCAUGGUCUCCAGGUGAGUUUGAUGAGGCGUGGUCUCCAGGUGAGUUUGAUGAGGCGUGGUCUCCAGGUGAGUUUGAGGAGGCGUGGUCUCCAGGUGAGUUUGAUGAGGCGUGGGCUGCAGAUGAGUUUGAUUAGAUGUGGUCUCCUAUCUUUGGAAUAUUUGGAAUAUUCCACAAGUCGCAUGUUCAACACUUUGUUCCAUCACCUGAAUAUCCUGCAGAUCUAACAAAAGUAAGUUCUCUCACUCUUUCUUUCUUUACUUUUUAGCUUUAUGAUAGUGUCGUAUUGACCGACGAGGUCACCCUGAAAGUACGAACCUGUUACACAAAAUAUGAACUGAAGGUAAACGACUAAUUUGAAACAAAUAUUUUAAGGUAAACAUAAUAACAUUCUUAAUGUCUUCAUG